rnacentral:lncRNA from 1 species
AGGGUCUGGCCUUUAAAGGGAGUCAGAAUUUAAACAGCAACAGAAUGUUCAAGGUAUACAAAAUUAGCAGGAAGCCUUUUAUUUUUGUGUUCCUAACUAACUACUUGGAAUUGUAGCUCAAAAUAGUGUCCCAGAUGCUGUAGCCUGUGCUUAAGUGAACCUGACAGGAGUGUUGUGAGGGCAGCUGAGUCUGGGAGCCUGGGAAGUUUGUGUUUGCUGCAGGUUCUAGGCUGUCUGNUCAGUAACACAUAUUUACAGAUGGGCAAUGACAGACAGAGAUAGGAACACUAAGUUUAAGUGCUUAGUGCAGAAAAAUGGGAAGGGCAGAGACAGAGACCAAGGCAAAACUUAAAACACUUGCACACACAGGUAGCACCAAUCCAGUGACACAUCUGCCACACCUUCUGAGGGUAGCUUCAGUGGGCAGUGACAAGACAGACACAAUGGACAGAAAGAAGACUCUGAGACAUGACCCAUUCCCCAAGCCCUCUCACUCCACCAACCCCAUGUACCUCAUGCUGCAAGGCAUCUCUUGGGGAAAGAUUCCAAAAAGUAUGUGACGAGAACCCCCAGGCUGUACUCCGCCCCACCAUGCUCUCACCCCACCAUUCUGACCCCUCAUCCUAGGCCCCACAGAGUCACAGCACAAUGCCCUGGAAAGGACCUUUUUAAACUCCAAGUCAGAUUUUCCUGCUGGGUAAGUUCCAUUAGGAAGACAGUGCGGCAUACAAAGCGGAAUUGCAUUUGGAGAUGGGAACAGUGUUGCUGUAGGAAGCUCAGCUCAUUUUGUCUUCCCUCCUAAGGCAGGUUCCUGGAGAAUGGAGUUCUCUCUGUGCCCAAUGCUCACUGUACACAGAGCAGAUACAUGCCUUCGGUGUCAAUAAACGUUUGGGGUGUAG